rnacentral:rRNA from 1 species
UUAAGUUAGAAAGGGCGCACGGUGGAUGCCUUGACACUAGGAGUCGAUGAAGGACGGGACUAACGCCGAUAUGCUUCGGGGAGCUGUAAGUAAGCUUUGAUCCGAAGAUUUCCGAAUGGGGAAACCCACCAUACGUAAUGGUAUGGUAUCCUUAUCUGAAUACAUAGGGUAAGGAAGACAGACCCAGGGAACUGAAACAUCUAAGUACCUGGAGGAAGAGAAAGCAAAUGCGAUUUCCUGAGUAGCGGCGAGCGAAACGGAACAUAGCCCAAACCAAGAGGCUUGCCUCUUGGGGUUGUAGGACAUUCUAUACGGAGUUACAAAGGAACGAGGUAGACGAAGCGACCUGGAAAGGUCCGUCGUAGAGGGUAACAACCCCGUAGUCGAAACUUCGUUCUCUCUUGAAUGUAUCCUGAGUACGGCGGAACACGUGAAAUUCCGUCGGAAUCUGGGAGGACCAUCUCCCAAGGCUAAAUACUCCCUAGUGAUCGAUAGUGAACCAGUACCGUGAGGGAAAGGUGAAAAGCACCCCGGAAGGGGAGUGAAAGAGAUCCUGAAACCGUGUGCCUACAAAUAGUCAGAGCCCGUUAACGGGUGAUGGCGUGCCUUUUGUAGAAUGAACCGGCGAGUUACGAUCCCGUGCGAGGUUAAGCUGAAGAGGCGGAGCCGCAGCGAAAGCGAGUCUGAAUAGGGCGUUUAGUACGUGGUCGUAGACCCGAAACCAGGUGAUCUACCCAUGUCCAGGGUGAAGUUCAGGUAACACUGAAUGGAGGCCCGAACCCACGCACGUUGAAAAGUGCGGGGAUGAGGUGUGGGUAGCGGAGAAAUUCCAAUCGAACCUGGAGAUAGCUGGUUCUCCCCGAAAUAGCUUUAGGGCUAGCCUUAAGUGUAAGAGUCUUGGAGGUAGAGCACUGAUUGGACUAGGGGUCCUCAUCGGAUUACCGAAUUCAGUCAAACUCCGAAUGCCAAUGACUUAUCCUUAGGAGUCAGACUGCGAGUGAUAAGAUCCGUAGUCAAAAGGGAAACAGCCCAGACCGCCAGCUAAGGUCCCAAAGUGUGUAUUAAGUGGAAAAGGAUGUGGAGUUGCUUAGACAACUAGGAUGUUGGCUUAGAAGCAGCCACCAUUUAAAGAGUGCGUAAUAGCUCACUAGUCGAGUGACUCUGCGCCGAAAAUGUACCGGGGCUAAAUACACCACCGAAGCUGCGGAUUGAUACCGAAUGGUAUCAGUGGUAGGGGAGCGUUCUAAGGACAGUGAAGUCAGACCGUAAGGACUGGUGGAGUGCUUAGAAGUGAGAAUGCCGGUAUGAGUAGCGAAAGACGGGUGAGAAUCCCGUCCACCGAAUGCCUAAGGUUUCCUGAGGAAGGCUCGUCCGCUCAGGGUUAGUCAGGACCUAAGCCGAGGCCGACAGGCGUAGGCGAUGGACAACAGGUUGAUAUUCCUGUACCACCUCUUUAUCGUUUGAGCAAUGGAGGGACGCAGAAGGAUAGAAGAAGCGUGCGAUUGGUUGUGCACGUCCAAGCAGUUAGGCUGAUAAGUAGGCAAAUCCGCUUAUCAUAAAGGCUGAGCUGUGAUGGGGAAGCUCCUUAUGGAGCGAAGUCUUUGAUUCCCCGCUGCCAAGAAAAGCUUCUAGCGAGAUAAAAGGUGCCUGUACCGCAAACCGACACAGGUAGGCGAGGAGAGAAUCCUAAGGUGUGCGAGAGAACUCUGGUUAAGGAACUCGGCAAAAUGACCCCGUAACUUCGGGAGAAGGGGUGCUUUCUUAACGGAAAGCCGCAGUGAAUAGGCCCAAGCGACUGUUUAGCAAAAACACAGCUCUCUGCGAAGCCGUAAGGCGAAGUAUAGGGGGUGACACCUGCCCGGUGCUGGAAGGUUAAGGAGAGGGGUUAGCGUAAGCGAAGCUCUGAACUGAAGCCCCAGUAAACGGCGGCCGUAACUAUAACGGUCCUAAGGUAGCGAAAUUCCUUGUCGGGUAAGUUCCGACCCGCACGAAAGGUGUAACGAUUUGGGCACUGUCUCAACCAGAGACUCGGUGAAAUUAUAGUACCUGUGAAGAUGCAGGUUACCCGCGACAGGACGGAAAGACCCCGUGGAGCUUUACUGUAGCCUGAUAUUGAAUUUUGGUACAGUUUGUACAGGAUAGGCGGGAGCCAUUGAAACCGGAGCGCUAGCUUCGGUGGAGGCGCUGGUGGGAUACCGCCCUGACUGUAUUGAAAUUCUAACCUACGGGUCUUAUCGACCCGGGAGACAGUGUCAGGUGGGCAGUUUGACUGGGGCGGUCGCCUCCUAAAGUGUAACGGAGGCGCCCAAAGGUUCCCUCAGAAUGGUUGGAAAUCAUUCGUAGAGUGCAAAGGCAUAAGGGAGCUUGACUGCGAGACCUACAAGUCGAGCAGGGACGAAAGUCGGGCUUAGUGAUCCGGUGGUUCCGCAUGGAAGGGCCAUCGCUCAACGGAUAAAAGCUACCCCGGGGAUAACAGGCUUAUCUCCCCCAAGAGUCCACAUCGACGGGGAGGUUUGGCACCUCGAUGUCGGCUCAUCGCAUCCUGGGGCUGUAGUCGGUCCCAAGGGUUGGGCUGUUCGCCCAUUAAAGCGGCACGCGAGCUGGGUUCAGAACGUCGUGAGACAGUUCGGUCCCUAUCCGUCGUGGGCGUAGGAAAUUUGAGAGGAGCUGUCCUUAGUACGAGAGGACCGGGAUGGACGCACCGCUGGUGUACCAGUUGUUCUGCCAAGGGCAUAGCUGGGUAGCUAUGUGCGGAAGGGAUAAGUGCUGAAAGCAUCUAAGCAUGAAGCCCCCCUCAAGAUGAGAUUUCCCAUAGCGUAAGCUAGUAAGAUCCCUGAAAGAUGAUCAGGUUGAUAGGUUCGAGGUGGAAGCAUGGUGACAUGUGGAGCUGACGAAUACUAAUAGAUCGAGGACUUAACCAU